GACGAACGCUGGCGGCGUGCCUAACACAUGCAAGUCGAACGGGGAUUUUGUUUCGGCAGAAUCCUAGUGGCGAACGGGUGAGUAACGCGUAGGCAACCUGCCCCCCGGAUUGGGACAACACCCCGAAAGGGGUGCUAAUACCGGAUACGAAGAUAACACCGCAUGGUGUUAUUUUGAAAGAUGGCCUCUAUUUAUAAGCUAUCGCCGGGGGAUGGGCCUGCGUCCGAUUAGCUGGUUGGUGGGGUAACGGCCUACCAAGGCGACGAUCGGUAGCCGGUCUGAGAGGAUGAACGGCCACAUUGGGACUGAGACACGGCCCAGACUCCUACGGGAGGCAGCAGUGGGGAAUCUUCCGCAAUGGGCGAAAGCCUGACGGAGCAACGCCGCGUGGGUGAGGAAGUUCUUCGGAACGUAAAGCCCUGUUGUACAUGACGAACGUGCUUUCUAUCAACAACGGGAAGCAAUGACGGUAGUGUACGAGGAAGCCACGGCUAACUACGUGCCAGCAGCCGCGGUAAUACGUAGGUGGCAAGCGUUGUCCGGAAUUAUUGGGCGUAAAGCGCAUGUAGGCGGUGCCUUAAGUCUGUCGUGAAACUGCGGGGCCUAACCCCGUAUGGCGAUGGAAACUGGGGCACUUGAGUGCAGGAGAGGAAAGGGGAACUCCCAGUGUAGCGGUGAAAUGCGUAGAUAUUGGGAAGAACACCGGUGGCGAAGGCGCCUUUCUGGACUGUGUCUGACGCUGAGAUGCGAAAGCCAGGGUAGCGAACGGGAUUAGAUACCCCGGUAGUCCUGGCCGUAAACGAUGGGUACUAGGUGUGGGAGGUAUCGACCCCUUCCGUGCCGGAGUUGACGCAAUAAGUACCCCGCCUGGGGAGUACGGCCGCAAGGCUUAAACUCAAAGGAAUUGACGGGGGUCCGCACA
rnacentral:rRNA from 1 species